rnacentral:rRNA from 1 species
GAACGCUGGCGGCAUGCCUUACACAUGACAAGUCGAACGGUAGCGCGGGUAACCUGGCGACGAGUGGCGAACGGGUGAGUAAUGCAGUCGGAACGUCGCCCUGGAAGUGGGGGAAUAACGUAGCGAAAGUUACGCUAAUACCGCAUAUUCUGUGAGCAGGAAAGCAGGGGAUCGCAAGACCUUGCGUUCUGGGAGCGGCCGAUGUCGGAUUAGCUAGUUGGUGGGGUAAAGGCCUACCAAGGUGACGAUCCGUAGCGGGUCUGAGAGGAUGAUCCGCCACACUGGGACUGAGACACGGCCCAGACUCCUACGGGAGGCAGCAGUGGGGAAUUUUGGACAAUGGGCGCAAGCCUGAUCCAGCCAUGCCGCGUGCGGGACGAAGGCCUUCGGGUUGUAAACCGCUUUCAGCCGGAAAGAAAUCGCCGUUUUAAUACAGACGGUGGAUGACGGUACCGGAAGAAGAAGCACCGGCUAACUACGUG